CGGGCGGCCACCAGCAUUCUCAUUCACAAAGGAAGAAGGAAACUCUGCAGAUCACAACCAGGAUGCUGAAGAUUUCCCUCCAAACACUGCUCUCACUACAUCUUAUAAAUUUUGAUUUCUUGUGAUGAACAUGAAUUACUUCACAGUAAUCAGGCAAACAAAUUAAAAAUGGAUCCGUGGGGACGGACGGGCACAGCUGGGCGGGUUCCUGGGGGAGGUGCUCCCAGGUGUCCUUGCCACACUCAGCACCAUGCGGGCAGUAGGUCUGCAGGAGCUGUUUGGUUGAAUUGAAGGUGACAGGCUUGCGAGGGUGACCUGAGCUGCAGUCCGCCAAACAUUUAGCGUGAGUAUAAGGAGUCGAUGAGUUCCUUUGGCUUUACAUUACACUAGUAGACUGACGCCAGCCUAUUAGGAUAUUGGGGAGAAAUCCUUAGGAUUUGGAAUCCUUCAUCUUCAAGAUGAAUCUCCCAAUAUCUGCCAACAGCCUCUUCACUGUGUCCAUUAAAUGGCCUACUUGUGUAUUGGCUGCUGCGGAGCCAGAGUUUUUAUUUGAUGUUAAAGGAAUCUUAAUUAAAGUCCUGCUGGCUGUAUUUUGCUAA